rnacentral:rRNA from 1 species
GACGAACGCUGGCGGCGCGCCUAACACAUGCAAGUCGAACGAGAGAGAAGGAGCUUGCUUCUUCGAUCGAGUGGCGAACGGGUGAGUAACGCGUGAGGAACCUGCCUCAAAGAGGGGGACAACAGUUGGAAACGACUGCUAAUACCGCAUAAGCCCACAGGUCGGCAUCGACCAGAGGGAAAAGGAGCAAUCCGCUUUGAGAUGGCCUCGCGUCCGAUUAGCUAGUUGGUGAGGUAACGGCCCACCAAGGCGACGAUCGGUAGCCGGACUGAGAGGUUGAACGGCCACAUUGGGACUGAGACACGGCCCAGACUCCUACGGGAGGCAGCAGUGGGGAAUAUUGCACAAUGGGGGAAACCCUGAUGCAGCGACGCCGCGUGGAGGAAGAAGGUCUUCGGAUUGUAAACUCCUGUUGUUGAGGAAGAUAAAUGACGGUACUCAACAAGGAAGUGACGGCUAACUACGUGCCAGCAGCCGCGGUAAAGUACAGUGU